CCACAGGGGAGCUGGGAAGAGCCCGGCUGAGAGAGAAAUCCGACUGAUAUUUCAAAACCCUCAAACCUGAUCUGGGUAAUGCCAGCGUAGGAAACGUGAUUG
rnacentral:ncRNA from 1 species